UACAGAGGUCUCAAGCGUUGUCGGAUUCAUUGGGCGUAAAGGGUGCGUAGGUGGCGCCGUAAGUCAGGUGUGAAAUUUCGGAGCUUAACUCCGAAACUGCAUUUGAUACUGCGGUGCUUGAGGACUGGAGAGGAGACUGGAAUUUACGGUGUAGCAGUGAAAUGCGUAGAGAUCGUAAGGAAGACCAGUGGCGAAGGCGGGUCUCUGGACAGUUCCUGACACUGAGGCAACGAAGGCCAGGGGAGCAAACGGG
rnacentral:rRNA from 1 species